GAUGAACGCUGGCGGCGUGCCUAAUACAUGCAAGUCGAGCGAACAGACGAGGAGCUUGCUCCUCUGACGUUAGCGGCGGACGGGUGAGUAACACGUGGAUAACCUACCUAUAAGACUGGGAUAACUUCGGGAAACCGGAGCUAAUACCGGAUAAUAUGUUGAACCGCAUGGUUCAAUAGUGAAAGACGGUUUUGCUGUCACUUAUAGAUGGAUCCGCGUCGCAUUAGCUAGUUGGUAAGGUAACGGCUUACCAAGGCAACGAUGCGUAGCCGACCUGAGAGGGUGAUCGGCCACACUGGAACUGAGACACGGUCCAGACUCCUACGGGAGGCAGCAGUAGGGAAUCUUCCGCAAUGGGCGAAAGCCUGACGGAGCAACGCCGCGUGAGUGAAGAAGGUCUUCGGAUCGUAAAACUCUGUUAUUAGGGAAGAACAAAUGUGUAAGUAACUAUGCACGUCUUGACGGUACCUAAUCAGAAAGCCACGGCUAACUACGUG
rnacentral:rRNA from 1 species